CCAUCAGCGGUUCAGUGGUAGAAUGCUCCCCUGCCACGCGGGCGGCCCGAGUUCGAUUCCAGGCUGAUGCA
rnacentral:tRNA from 1 species